GUCCAGUUCUUCCUCUCCCUCCCACUCAGGAAGAACCAGCUCAUCCUCCUCUGUUGGACCCACGACAUCCACCGGUCACACCGCUGCAAAGAGGAGACUGGAGCCGACAGUGUGGCGGUGGAAUUGGUGUCGUGGGUCCAGUGUGACAACUGCCACAAGUGGUUUCACACCACUUGUGUCAGCUGGGAGGAGGAUGAGCUGACAAAUGAUGAAUUUUGGUGUUUUUGGUG